UGGGGAAUAUUGCACAAUGGGGGAAACCCUGAUGCAGCGACGCCGCGUGAUUUAGAAGGCCUUCGGGUUGUAAAAAUCUUUUCUAUGGGAAGAAAAUGACAGUACCAUAGGAAUAAGGACCGGCUAAUUACGUGCCAGCAGCCGCGGUAAUACGUAAGGUCCGAGCGUUGUCCGGAAUCAUUGGGCGUAGAGGGUACGUAGGCGGGUAAGCAAGUUAGAAGUGAAAUCCUGUAGCUCAACUACAGUAAGCUUUUAAAACUGCUCAUCUUGAGAUAUGGAAGGGAAAGUGGAAUUCCUAGUGUAGCGGUGAAAUGCGCAGAUAUUAGGAGGAAUACCGGUGGCGAAGGCGACUUUCUGGCCAUAAUCUGACGCUGAGGUACGAAAGCGUGGGUAGCAAACAGG
rnacentral:rRNA from 1 species